AUACAUUACCAAAAACCCAGCAAAAACGAAAACCCCCCUCCACGCUGAAACCCGUCAAAUAUUCCCUUCCCCCCUCACGCCAGAACGGACGUGGCAAACCCAAGGGAGCAGAACGGAAAUCACGCGAAAUUUCAAAACCUACGCGCGAGAGAUUCGACAGAAACAGCAGCCACGCUGUCUCGCUCUCUCUCCUCCUCUGCCUCAUUCUGCUCUUGUGCAGUUGCUUUCGGCGAAAGCAGACCUGCGUGUUCAUCCUUGGUUGCGGGAGAUUGAGCCACGUAGUGCAAAAAGGACUACAUUUCAUGAUCCGAGGCGUCAAUUUCUCCCUUUCCCCUUUUGGGAUGGGACGAAAUAAGGGGAAUUCUUCACAGAAUAUGGUUUGCUUCGUUAUAGGAAAAAAUUCAAAAAUUUGAGUUUAGGUGGGUUUCGAACCCGAUUUCGAUUCCGGGUUUCCGAUUCCUUUGACCUAAUCUCUCCAUCUAUAUAUUGUCGCUUUCUUCUACUUCAAGGGGGGAUUUUUUUUGAGAAAAAUUUUUCUAGCGACUUAAGAAAGAAUCGACGAACUAUAUACAUAAGAGGCCGAUUUCUGUUCGAGGUUAGAUUUUUGGGGUUGGAAAAUUUUGUUGAAAAUUUUCAAGAGAGAAACUUGGGGUGGAGGAAAAAUCUUGCAAAUAUUUUUGGUUCUCUUCUGUUUUGUUGUAGGAGAACAGUGGUUUGGACGAUUUUUCUUUGAGAGUUGGAGAGUUAUCACGAAGAUUCAUAAAGGUUUUCUGGAGAAAACACUUUUUUUUUCGUCUGUUGUAGGAGAACCAUCGAGAUUUUUUCUUUUGGUUAUCUUCUUGUUCGUUGUCGGGAGAAGUAGAGGAGGUGUGUUGUCAUUUUCCUGUUCAAACGAACUAAGGGAGAGCCUUAAGCGGUCUUAGAGAGAGUUUUCCAAGAUUGCGAUGAGCACAAAGUUGGCAGAUUGGCGAGUUAACCGACCCCGCAGCUUCCAUUUCAUCGUUUGUUGUUCGUGUCUUCGUUUGGGGUGGAAGUUAUCAUUGUCGCUGCUCAUUCUCAUCUCACUUCACUGAUCUCAGAGAGGUUCCGAUCGUUGAAGAGUUUGGAAGGCGACAUUGUUGAAGGCUUGGAUUCUUCAUUUCAUCCAAGUAGGGUAGGUCCUCAACUUCCGAGGGCAAUGCCACUAUCUAGCUUAUGGACUUGUUAUGAGCUUAAAAAAUCUUUCAUUUCUUUUCUUUUCAAUUGGGUAUCAUACUUUUGUAUGACCUAUAUGUGGUCUUGUUGUAUUGAGGACUAUGCCCAUAUAGGGAUAAUCGUUUAGAUGGUUUGAUAUGAGACAAUCUUUGAGACUAUUUCACUAUCAUAUAUAUAUGUAUGUACAAUAAAAGUAGAAGGCUUUGUAACAUUCCUAUUUGA